AACGAACGCUGGCGGCAUGCCUAACACAUGCAAGUCGAACGAGACCUUCGGGUCUAGUGGCGCACGGGUGCGUAACGCGUGGGAACCUGCCCUUAGGUUCGGAAUAACUCCCCGAAAGGGGUGCUAAUACCGGAUAAUGUCUUCGGACCAAAGAUUUAUCGCCUUUGGAUGGGCCCGCGUUGGAUUAGCUAGUUGGUAGGGUAAAAGCCUACCAAGGCGACGAUCCAUAGCUGGUCUGAGAGGAUGAUCAGCCACACUGGGACUGAGACACGGCCCAGACUCCUACGGGAGGCAGCAGUGGGGAAUAUUGGAAAAUGGGCGAAAGCCUGAUCCAGCAAUGCCGCGAGAGUGAUGAAGGCCUUAGGGUUGUAAAGCUCUUUUACCCGGGAUGAUAAUGACAGUACCGGGAGAAUAAGCUCCGGCUAACUCCGUG
rnacentral:rRNA from 1 species